GCCACAACAUCAUUAGCAAACUAAGCAAUAACAGUGUGAAACAGUGUCAUGGCACAUUUUUAGGAUUAAAAUUAAAUUAGACGGUGUAUGGAGCAGAGAUGUGAGAGAUAAGAGGAAAAAGCAUAGAAAACACACAUCUGCAUCUCAAACAAUUUAACAUUGCCACUGGGUGUUAAAAUACAUAGACCAGAUUCUCUAGGCUGUUGAUUUGGCUGGG